AAGAUGGUUUCGGCUAUCGCUUACAGAUGGGCCCGCGGUGCAUUAGCUAGUUGGUAGGGUAAUGGCCUACCAAGGCAACGAUGCAUAGCCGACCUGAGAGGGUGAUCGGCCACACUGGGACUGAGACACGGCCCAGACUCCUACGGGAGGCAGCAGUAGGGAAUCUUCCGCAAUGGACGAAAGUCUGACGGAGCAACGCCGCGUGUAUGAAGAAGGUUUUCGGAUCGUAAAGUACUGUUGUUAGAGAAGAACAAGGAUAAGAGUAACUGCUUGUCCCUUGACGGUAUCUAACCAGAAAGCCACGGCUAACUACGUGCCAGCAGCCGCGGUAAUACGUAGGUGGCAAGCGUUGUCCGGAUUUAUUGGGCGUAAAGCGCGCGCAGGCGGUCUUUUAAGUCUGAUGUGAAAGCCCCCGGCUUAACCGGGGAGGGUCAUUGGAAACUGG
rnacentral:rRNA from 1 species